AACGCUGGCGGCGUGCUUAACACAUGCAAGUCGAACGGAAAGGCCCUGCUUUUGUGGGGUGCUCGAGUGGCGAACGGGUGAGUAACACGUGAGUAACCUGCCCUUGACUUUGGGAUAACUUCAGGAAACUGGGGCUAAUACCGGAUAGGAGCUCCUGCUGCAUGGUGGGGGUUGGAAAGUUUCGGCGGUUGGGGAUGGACUCGCGGCUUAUCAGCUUGUUGGUGGGGUAGUGGCUUACCAAGGCUUUGACGGGUAGCCGGCCUGAGAGGGUGACCGGCCACAUUGGGACUGAGAUACGGCCCAGACUCCUACGGGAGGCGGCAGUGGGGAAUAUUGCACAAUGGGCGGAAGCCUGAUGCAGCAACGCCGCGUGCGGGAUGACGGCCUUCGGGUUGUAAACCGCUUUCGCCUGUGACGAAGCGUGAGUGACGGUAAUGGGUAAAGAAGCACCGGCUAACUACGUGCCAGCAGCCGCGGUGAUACGUAGGGUGCGAGCGUUGUCCGGAUUUAUUGGGCGUAAAGGGCUCGUAGGUGGUUGAUCGCGUCGGAAGUGUAAUCUUGGGGCUUAACCCUGAGCGUGCUUUCGAUACGGGUUGACUUGAGGAAGGUAGGGGAGAAUGGAAUUCCUGGUGGAGCGGUGGAAUGCGCAGAUAUCAGGAGGAACACCAGUGGCGAAGGCGGUUCUCUGGGCCUUUCCUGACGCUGAGGAGCGAAAGCGUGGGGAGCGAACAGGCUUAGAUACCCUGGUAGUCCACGCUGUAAACGGUGGGUACUAGGUGUGGGGUCCAUUCCACGGGUUCCGUGCCGUAGCUAACGCUUUAAGUACCCCGCCUGGGGAGUACGGCCGCAAGGCUAAAACUCAAAGGAAUUGACGGGGCCCCGCACAAGCGGCGGAGCAUGCGGAUUAAUUCGAUGCAACGCGUAGAACCUUACCUGGGUUUGACAUGGAUCGGGAGUGCUCAGAGAUGGGUGUGCCUCUUUUGGGGUCGGUUCACAGGUGGUGCAUGGCUGUCGUCAGCUCGUGUCGUGAGAUGUUGGGUUAAGUCCCGCAACGAGCGCAACCCUUGUUCACUGUUGCCAGCACGUUAUGGUGGGGACUCAGUGGAGACCGCCGGGGUCAACUCGGAGGAAGGUGGGGAUGACGUCAAGUCAUCAUGCCCCUUAUGUCCAGGGCUUCACGCAUGCUACAAUGGCUGGUACAGAGAGUGGCGAGCCUGUGAGGGUGAGCGAAUCUCGGAAAGCCGGUCUCAGUUCGGAUUGGGGUCUGCAACUCGACCUCAUGAAGUCGGAGUCGCUAGUAAUCGCAGAUCAGCAACGCUGCGGUGAAUACGUUCCCGGGGCUUGUACACACCGCCCGUCAAGUCAUGAAAGUUGGUAACACCCGAAGCCGGUGGCCUAACCGUUGUGGGGGAGCCGUCGAAGGUGGGACUGGUGAUUAGGACUA
rnacentral:rRNA from 1 species